AGACGAGUGAAAAACAAACAUAACCCAAGAACAAGCAUUCCGAGCGGAGGCUACCGAGCAAUCGGACCGACGGGAGGAAUUACUGUCUCUGAAAGGAGGCAUACGAGCCCAGAAGUCGGACAUGGCGAGGGCGUUAAAGCAGGCGGGGUCCACCCCAAAAGAGGGCGGGCAGUACGUAAACGUUUUGUUUGUUUGUUUGUUUGUUAAACCCAUUAGUGCAGAUCUUGGUGGAAGUAGCAAAUAUUCAAAUGAGAUCUUUGAAGACUGAAGUGGAGAAAGGUUCCAUAGGAAUCGUGAUGAUCUACGGGUUAGUCGAUCCUAAGAGAUAGGUGAAAUCCAUUGAAAGGAUGACGUUCGUCAUCGUCUAUCGAAAGGGAAUCAGGUUAAUAUUCCUGAACCAAUAGAAGUGUGUCGGUAACGGUAUUGAGAUUGAAGACAUUGAUGGUACUCCUGGGAAGAGUUGUCUUUUCUUGUUAACAAAUGGCAGUCCUUGGAAUAAAUUCAGUUUGCGAGAAGGAUUGUGGUUUGGUAAAGGUUCCUGCUUGUUGGGAGCUCUGGUGCAGUAUCAGCAGUCCUUGAAAAUUCAAUCUCAACGUAACUUCUAUUGUUCGUACUCAUAACCGCAUCAGGUCUCCAAGGUGAAUAGCCUCUAGUUCAUAGAAUAAUGUAGGUAAGGGAAGUCGGCAAAUUAGAUCCGUAACUUCGGGAAAAGGAUUGGCUCUGAGGGCUAAGCAGAAUGAGUAUUGGUUAGGAAACGG
rfam:Blastocystis sp. NandII AV274scaffold_673, whole genome shotgun sequence.